GGAAGCAAAAGUCGUAACAAGGUUUCCGUAGGUGAACCUGCGGAAGGAUCAUUAUUGUAUAACCGAGGUGCGAGGGCAGUCGCUGACCCGAAAGGUCGUGCACGCCCGAGUGCCCUCACACACAUCCAUCUCACCCCUAUGUGCACCACCGCGUGGGUCCCCCUUUGGCUUGUUCGGAGGGGGGCUUACGUUUUCACACAAACUUUGUAUGCAGUGUAGAAUGUAUUUUUUGUUUUUGCGAUCACGCAAUCAAUACAACUUUCAACAACGGAUCUCUUGGCUCUC
rnacentral:misc_RNA from 1 species